rnacentral:rRNA from 1 species
CCUACGGGUGGCUGCAGUGAGGAAUAUUGGUCAUUGGACGAGAGACUGAACCAGCCAAGCAGCGUGAAGGAUGACUGUACUAUGGGUCGUAAACUUCUUUUAUCAAGGAAUAAAAAGUGGCACGUGUCCCCUGUUGCGUGUACUUUAUGAAUAAGCAUCGGCUAACUCCGUGCCAGCAGCCGCGGUAAUACGGAGGAUCCGAGCGUUAUCCGGAUUUAUUGGGUUUAAAGGGGGCGUAGAUGGGUUGUUAAGUCAGUUGUGAAAGUUUGCGGCUCAACCGUAGAAUUGCAUUUGAUACUGGCAGUCUUGAGUAGAGGAGAGGGAAGCGGAAUGCGUGGUGUAGCGGUGAAAUGCUUAGAUAUCACGAAGAACCCCGAUUGCGAAGGCAGCUUACUAAACUGUGACUGACAUUGAUGCUCGAAAGUGUGGGUAUCAAACAGGAUUAGAUACCCUGGUAGUC